rnacentral:rRNA from 1 species
GAUGAACGCUGGCGGCGUGCCUAAUACAUGCAAGUCGAGCGAACAGACGAGGAGCUUUCUCCUUCGACGUUAGCGGCGGACGGGUGAGUAACACGUAGGUAACCUACCUAUAAGACUGGGAUAACCUCGGGAAACCGGAGCUAAUACCGGCUAAUAUUUCGAACCGCAUGGUUCGAUAGUGAAAGAUGGCUUUGCUAUCACUUAUCGAUGGACCUGCGCCGUAUUAGCUAGUUGGUAAGGUAACGGCUUACCAAGGCAACGAUCCGUAGCCGACCUGAGAGGGUGAUCGGCCACACUGGAACUGAGACACGGUCCAGACUCCUACGGGAGGCAGCAGUAGGGAAUCUUCCGCAAUGGGCGAAAGCCUGACGGAGCAACGCCGCGUGAGUGAUGAAGGUCUUCGGAUCGUAAAACUCUGUUAUUAGGGAAGAACAAACGUGUAAGUAACUGUGCACGUCUUGACGGUACCUAAUCAGAAAGCCACGGCUAACUACGUG